rnacentral:rRNA from 1 species
GAUGAACGCUAGCGGCAGGCUUAAUACAUGCAAGUUGAGGGGCAGCAUGAUAUACGCGAGUAUAUUGAUGGCGACCGGCGGACGGGUGAGUAAUAGGUAGGAGACCUACCUCAUACAGGGGGAUAGCAUAGAGAAAUCUGUGGUAAUACCCCAUGAGGUUAUAUGAAUAGAGGCAUAUAAUCAAAGCAUAAGCGAUUAUGCGGUAUGAGAGGGGCCUACUGACCAUUAGCUAGUUGGUGAGGUAAGGGCUCACCAAGGCGAAGAUGGUUAGGGGUUUUGAGAGAGAGACCCCCCACAUUGGAACUGACGAGACGGUCCAGACUCCUACGGGAGGCAGCAGUAGGGAAUAUUGGGCAAUGGGCGAAAGCCUGACCCAGCCAUGCCGCGUGAAGGAAGACGGCCUUAUGGGGUUGUAAACUUUCUUUACUACGCGAAUAGAGGUUAGUACGAGAUACUAAUAGGAAGGUAGUGUAGUAAAAGCACCGGCUAACUCCGUG